GCCCGGGGGCGGAUUCGGGCCCGGGGGCGGAGCCGUGCGGCUUGUGCCAAGGGAAGGCAGCGCGCGGGCUGCACGGCCGGUGUGCGGGCCGACGAUCAAGUUCAGGCUGCCAGCCCCGGGCCCGGCGGUGCCAUGGACGGCCUGCGCCAGCGCUUCGAGCGCUUUCUGGAACAGAGGAACUUGGCCACCGAAGCGCUAGGGGCGCUCGAAGCCAAGACCGGUGUCGACAAGCGGUACUUGGCCGCGGGUGAGCCGUCGGGGGGAGCGCUUGGGGCGACACCCCCUUUUGCCAAAGAGCACUCUGAAGCCCUGGGCCACGAGGGCCUCAGGCAUGCCCCCUCCGGCCGGCGCCGGCUGCGGGGUCUAGAUAGGGCGGCGGGGCGCGCCCACAGCCCAGCGAGGAGACUGAGAUCCUAGGGAGGGGUCAUGGACGAGGACCUUCGUUCUGCCCUCAGCCCCUCUCUGCCCCAAGCAAUGCGACCUCGGACUUGGGCCACCCCUUAUCUCGGCCCCGCAACACCCCCACUCGAGCCAUCAGGUCUGGAGGCUGUCCUCUGCCCCUUCUUUUCAGGCCCUGGGUUCCCGCCAGGCAGAAGUCCGGUUCUUCCAGUUGUCCUGCUGGUCCCGGGGGAGGAGGGGGCAGGAGAUAGCCAGUUCCCUGCCAGUGUCACCAGCCCCUUCCCUGAUGGAUCCAAGCCUGGAAGCAAUUGUAGAGAUCUUCUUUUCCCAGAGAAUGCUCCAGACAAGGAGGGGAAGAGUCACUCCCACCUCCCCUUCCUUUGUUUUCCUGCUAGGAUUCCCCUUCUCUCCACCCAACCUUGGCCUGGCCUCUCCCUCCCCUGCCUGGAAUUGGGUUGCUUGACCGAUGUGGUGGGUUUAGAGAAAGGUUGGAUGGGGCCAACAGAGAGGGAGAUCCAGCCACCCCUAAUUGUCACUCUCUUUCCAGUCCCUCCUCUGCCUUUCCUCCUCAAUGACCUUGUGGGGCUCCUGACAUCCUCUGAAACACUUCCCUCUCCUCUUUUUCUGUACUCCAAGUCCAUCUGUUUGUUGCCACCCGUUCCAGGAAGCCCCCCAGAAUGAAUCACAGGACACUGUUUGGACACUAGGGGGAAGGGACCCUAAGCGAGGAUGUGCACAUGUUUUGAGCACCUGUGUAUAGAUCCCGAGAGUCUGCUUUCCUCCCAUUUCUCCACCAACUGGGGAUUCCCAUGCUGGGCAGCCCAAGGAGGGUCCGAAACCUGCCCCCUGCCCCAGGUUCCUGGUCCCCAACUCAUGCUGACUCAGCCAGGAACCUGCCCCUGGGAGCCAAUGCUUGACCUCGUGUCUGCCUUUUCACAUCUCUGAUACCAGUGGGUGGGGAAUUUAGGUCAAAGAGCACUUGGGAGGGGCCCUCUGGGGAUGCUAGGGGUUCACAGGAAGGAAACUGAGGUUCGGGGUGACAGGGGCUGCAUGGGAGCAUCCACUCCCCCAACCCCCACAACCUUUCCCAGGGCUCCAUCUGUUGCUGAUCUCCAGGGCCAUGUCCCCGCCCAUGUCCAAGGUCAUCCUCCCUUUGCUGAGACUGCAGGAAUAGGGAUUGAGGGGAAGGGUGCCCAGGGAGAGCUGCUCCUCCCCACCUUGCGAUUUCCAGGGAAGGGGUGCCAUUCCCCCACCAGGAAUCCUUGGGCCCCACCUGCCUGAGAUGGCCAACUCCCCCUCCCAGCUACAGAGGAGGACACCCAGAGGAGGCAGCGACCAGGCCUCCUAGGGCCAGCCAGGGAUUCCCCUCCCUCUCCUGACCCUAGACGCCAGGGAUUAAAGCUAAAGCAGGUGGAGAGGAAGGUGGAGGUGACUCUGCCCUUUGGUCCCCUAGUGGCCUCUAUUCCUCUCUGCAGAUAACAGGCUGGAGGUGCAGGGGUGGAGAGGCUGAAAAUGCUCCUAGGAGCCAGAGGCUCCCCGAGUGACCCUGUGCAAGCCCCGCUCACCCCAGCUUCCGUUUUGUCCCAGCUGUUGAAUGAGAUGGAGCUGAGAGGGACAGAGCCCUGUACACGAGAAUCACUUAAUAAAGGCAGCGGUGAUGAUUAUGAUUGCAGAGUGGCUGACGCUCCUGGCCCUCACGUCCCACAAUUUUCUUCUCUGAUCCUCAUUGCCAGGAGUGUAUUUGGGCCACCAGAAGGGCUGACUAAAUGCAUAGGGAAGGGUCCUCUCCGCUGAGUCUUAUUUAGCUGACCUCUCAGCAACCCUAGUAGGCAGGGCUACUCUAUGCCCCUGACAGAUGGGAAAACUGAUGCUCCAAGCAGAGAGCCCCAGUCCACGGGACUCUCAAUACGACACCUUGCACCCUCCCACGAAGACAGGGGCUCUCGAUCACGGCCAUGCAACCCCCAGAGGACACUGGGUAGUGUCUGGGGACAUCUGCAGAAGCCAUGAUUGAGAAUACUCCUGGCAUCAAGUGGAUGGGGGCCAGGGAUGAUGCUUUGCACCCCAGGUACAAUGCCCAGAACAGCCCCCCACCCCGAGAAUGACCUGGCCCCCGUGUCAGCUGUGGUGAGGAGAACACACCUGGACUAAGGAGCCGCCACUCUACUAAGCCUGUAUCUUCUGUUCGGCCACGGGGCGUCUCUGCUGUGCAACCUCAUCGGCUUUGCAUACCCAGCAUAUGCUUCAAUCAAAGCUAUCGAGAGCCCAAGCAAAGAGGACGACACUGUGUGGCUCACCUACUGGGUGGUGUACGGCCUGUUCGGGCUGGCCGAGUUCUUCAGCGAUCUACUCCUGUUCUGGUUCCCUUUCUACUACGCGGGCAAGUGCGCCUUCCUGUUGUUCUGCAUGAUUCCCGGCCCCUGGAACGGGGCUCACAUGCUGUAUCAUCGCGCCAUCCGUCCACUGUUUCUAAAGCAUCACGAGGCCGUGGACAGCAUCAUGAACGACCUCAGCGGACGGGCCCUGGAUGUGGCAGCCGGAAUAACUCGGGACGACAAAGCAAGCAUGACUCACCUCAAGAAGGGCAAGUGAAGCCCCUGGCCAGCCCCUGCAUGAAUGAGCCGGCUGGUGAGCUGGAGGACCUGUCACACCCCAAGUCCUCUGUGGAUUCCUCAACUGACUCCCCAGCAGAGCCCACCAGCAGCCCUUCAUCCCCAGCCAAGCCAGCCCUCAGGAGCUCCACCAACCUGGGCCAGUCCCAGCAUCAGUCCCUGGCCACUGGCUCUGCCAACAGCUCCCAGCUGCCCGGCAAGCUCCGGGGUGGGCUUCAGUCUCGGGCCAACUCCUCCAGCCAGCCGCAGGCUCCCGGCCAGCCCCAGGCCCCUGGCCAGGCCCAGGCCUCAGGCCAGACCCAGGCCCUGGGCCAGCAACAUGCCCGGCCCUCUACCUCUUCCUCAGGCCCUUCACAGACAGCCCGCCAGUCCUCAGGCUCCACACAGCGUCCCAGCACCUCCAGCCAGGUGGGCCCCCUUGUGCAGUCUCCCAGUAGUGCCGCCAUCCCCACACAACUCCCCAGUGAGACCCCUGAUGGGCCGGGGACCUCAGCCACCAAAACCUCCAAGUCGAACAGACAGCACCAGAAGCAGCCCCCAAGAAAGGCCACCAGCAGCACCUCAGUGCCCAGGCUGCCCGCCUCCUAUCAAUCUGCGUCCUCCCUGGAGUACUCCUCAGAGUCCACCACUGAGGUCACCUGCAGCUGGCCCCACCACCGACACGGGCUCCAAUACCUGCAGCACUGCUGGCGGCUGAAACACCUGGCCUGCUAGGGAGGGCUCAGUAAAAUUCAUCUGGACCAGCCUC